rnacentral:ncRNA from 2 species
GUUAAUUACGUUCCCCGAAUUCAUUUGCCUGUGGCUUUGGCUAUGGCGGGUGAGUCGGUAGGGUUCGUCCGGAAACGGGUAGGCCUCCCGUUGCGGAAAGGGUGAACAGGAUAAUGCUAU